rnacentral:rRNA from 2 species
UGCAAGUCGAGCGAAGAGAUGGGAGCUUGCUCCCUGAUCUUAGCGGCGGACGGGUGAGUAACACGUGGGCAACCUGCCCUGCAGACUGGGAUAACUCCGGGAAACCGGAGCUAAUACCGGGUAAUACAUCGCACCGCAUGGUGCAAUGUUGAAAGUUGGCCUUUGGCUAACACUGCAGGAUGGGCCCGCGGCGCAUUAGCUAGUUGGUAAGGUAACGGCUUACCAAGGCGACGAUGCGUAGCCGACCUGAGAGGGUGAUCGGCCACACUGGGACUGAGACACGGCCCAGACUCCUACGGGAGGCAGCAGUAGGGAAUCUUCCGCAAUGGACGAAAGUCUGACGGAGCAACGCCGCGUGAGUGACGAAGGCCUUCGGGUCGUAAAGCUCUGUUGUUAGGGAAGAACAAGUACCGUUCGAAUAGGGCGGUACCUUGACGGUACCUAACCAGAAAGCCACGGCUAACUACGUGCCAGCAGCCGCGGUAAUACGUAGGUGGCAAGCGUUGUCCGGAAUUAUUGGGCGUAAAGCGCGCGCAGGCGGUCUUUUAAGUCUGAUGUGAAAGCCCACGGCUCAACCGUGGAGGGUCAUUGGAAACUGGAGGACUUGAGUGCAGAAGAGGAGAGUGGAAUUCCACGUGUAGCGGUGAAAUGCGUAGAUAUGUGGAGGAACACCAGUGGCGAAGGCGGCUCUCUGGUCUGUAACUGACGCUGAGGCGCG